AUCAUCUCGGGAUUUUGUUAAAAUGCAGGCUCUGGCUCCAUAGAUGAGGGUCUGAGAUUCUGCAUUUGUAACAAACCCCAGGUGAUGCCAA
rnacentral:pre_miRNA from 1 species